ensembl:lncRNA
UAAUACUGUACAUUUUCCUGACACUUACAGAUCACUGUUUUGUCAUUUUUAUACUUCUAUAUAAUUAGUAACAUUCUAAAAUUUAAGUUCUGAAUUAUCCUGGGGCAAAUAACUUAGCAUAUUCAUUUAGGAUGCUUAAUAGCAUAGCAAAGCUCUGGUCAAAUGACUUCUCUCUCCUACCAAGACUGAAGAUUGGAGUAGAAACAUCUGGCUAAAAUUCUAUCAACUAGCCGAGAGGAUGGUGACAGCAACUGUACAGGAUGGAAUAAGAAUGCUGAUCUUGCAAGAAAAUUCCCCUCUGAAGUAUUUUUGCAGCUCAUACACAAAUCUAACCUAAGGAUAUUAUGAAUAUUUCCAUUUUGAAAAUAUUUAGAAGACAGACACUUUGGAGUGACAGAAUUUGUUGCAAAUUUCUCUAUUUCACAGCUAUCUCAGUGGGUUGGUUGCUCCACAUUAAGAGUAAAUCCUGGGAAAUUCUGCACUCAUGAGAACUGUUUCAGAUUUUGCAAAAUAAGCAGUUGUAAGAAUGGAGAAGAAUGGAAGAAGGGAAGAGAUCACUUUGAUCUAUAUUCAAGAUUAGGUGGCUGUAGAUGAAUGGAAGAUUGGUUACUAGUGGACACAAAUAUUUGGCAUUCAAAAGUGAACCAGUUAGAAAUACUGCUCUUAGCCCUUGAUGUGGCCUUUAUGUUUUGUUGUUAUUUCAUAUCAUCAUUAAGCUGAAUGAUCUUCCACUGUGCUAUAUUCUGAACUGAGAAAAGAUAAUUACAAUUUUAUUACAAUAUACUGUGAUAUCACUUUUACAGAUGGAUUAAAUGAAGUUUAAAAAAAGACUGGAUGUGGCACUUGGUGCCAUGAUCUAGUUGAGGUGUUGGAACAUGGGUUGGACUCGAUGAUCUUAAAGGUCUCUUCCAACCUAGAAUUUCUGUGAUUCUGUGAAUUUGGAUGUGUGUGCAAAAAAAGUCCAAAUUAAGGGUUAAUAUAAUGUGAAAUUUGCUCAUAUCCUCGUUUUGCCUCACUAUACUAAGGAUGCUUCUUUUGGUUCUCAAGGAAAGAAUUCAGGAGAUAAAAAAUGGACACAAAGGAGCACAUUUUCAAGAGUAACAGGGAGAGCAGCACUGAAGUAAGAAAAGGGAGGAAAAAAGCCAAAAAAACAAAAGCCAGAAGGUAUAAUCUGAUCUGAAGCCUGUGACUAGCUUAAUAAAAUUACUGAAUUGUUUAAUAGUAUCUCA